CUCAAUUUCUUCAAUCUCAACCGUAGAUUGCAUUUGAUCGGACGGCUCCCAUUCGUUCUUAUCUCUUCCACACCCCAAAAACCCUAAACUAUCUUAUCAUUCUUCUUUCUAAAAAAAAAGAUUCUCUCUCUCUAACUCUCAACCUAACUCUUUCUCUCCACCCUUCAUCUUCUCCAAAGAGACGAGAAGACAACAACAACGCCGCACCUCCACCCUCAUCACCACCGCGCCUUCUCUCCUCCUCACUGAGCCACCAUCGCACCUCACCAUUAACGCCGCCAGCUGCUCAACGCAGCAGCCAUGACGUCGCUAUUUUUCCUCCUACAUCUUCGAUGAGCUGCUGUCUUCACCUCCACGCACGGAGGCUCUUCAACACCAACAGCUGCAGCAGCCCGCAACAGCUUCUCCAGCAGCCGCAGCAGCCUCCGGCAGCAACAACGACGGACAACAGCAGCAGUAGCAACCAACUGCACCACCUGAAACAACACGAACAACCAGCACCUCCAGCGGCGGCUCCAACGGCUGCAUCAGCUCCUCGAUCUUCCGACGAAACCAGCAGCAACAGCUGCAACAGCCUCUCCAUCGCUGCAACAGCAACUUGAAGGAGACAGCAGCCACGUCGGUGAGCAACAACCAACGCCGCCGUCUCCCUCGCUGGCCAGCAGUCAAAAGACCCUUCCAAACUCGAGAUUUCGGUGAUUUAAGAGGCGGAUUUGCAAGAUCCGUCUCAGUGUAGGGGCGGACAUCGACAAUCCGAUUUGUGGCUAGAGUGCUUUAGAUAUCAAGAAGUUGAUUAUUAGUACGGGGUAUCACCAUUGAUUUGAACUUGUGUAGAGCAGCUUUUGAUUCAGAGAUUUGGUAAGAUCAUGGUGUUCAGAGUUGUUGAUUUUCAUCUAUGUUAGAUUAGGACUAGUCUUUACUUUGUUUUAAAAACUAUCUGUACUUACAUUUGUAUUUUAAAAGUCUUGUACUUCUAUUUUAUUUAGACAGUCGAUUACUGACUAAUGUGAGUUCUUGGGGUGGUUCCUUGUGUUUUGUUUCA